AUUGAACGCUGGCGGCAGGCCUAACACAUGCAAGUCGAACGAGUGGCGGACGGGUGAGUAAUGUCUGGGAAACUGCCCGAUGGAGAGGGAUAACUACUGGAAACGGUAGCUAAUACCGCAUACCAUCAGCUGGGCCCAGAUGGGAUUAGCUAGUAGGUGGGGUAACGGCUAACCUAGGCGACGCUCCCUAGCGGGUCUGAGAGGAUGACCAGCGACACUGGAACUGAGACACGGUCCAGACUCCUUCGGGAGGCAGCAGUGGGGAAUAUGGCACAAUGGGCGCAAGCCUGAUGCAGCCCUGCCGCGUGUAUGAAGAAGGCCUUCGGGUUGUAAAGUACUUUCAGCGGGGAGGCGUUACCCGCAGAAGAAGCACCGGCUAACUCCGUGCCAGCAGCCGCGGUAAUUC
rnacentral:rRNA from 1 species